rnacentral:rRNA from 1 species
AAUCUGGUCCCCUUUGGGGGCCCGAGUUGUAAUUUGAAGAGGAUGCUUUUGGCGAGGCGCCGUCCGAGUUCCCUGGAACGGGACGCCGCAGAGGGUGAGAGCCCCGUACGGUCGGACGCCGAGCCUCUGUAAAGCUCCUUCGACGAGUCGAGUAGUUUGGGAAUGCUGCUCAAAAUGGGAGGUAAACCCCUUCUAAAGCUAAAUACUGGCCAGAGACCGAUAGCGCACAAGUAGAGUGAUCGAAAGAUGAAAAGCACUUUGAAAAGAGAGUUAAAAAGCACGUGAAAUUGUUAAAAGGGAAGCGCUUGCGACCAGACUUGCGCCCGUCGGAUCAACCGUCGCUUGCGGCGGCGCACUCCGGCGGGCUCAGGCCAGCAUCAGUUCGUCCGGGGGGAGAAAGGCGGCGGGAAUGUGGCUCUUCGGAGUGUUAUAGCCCGCCGUGUAAUACCCUCGGGUGGACUGAGGACCGCGCGUAUGCAAGGAUGCUGGCGUAAUGGUCGUCAGCGACCCGUCUUGAAACACGGACCAAGGAGUCGUCCUAAUAUGCGAGUGUACGGGUGUCAAACCCCUGCGCGUAAUGAAAGUGAACGGAGGUGAGAGCUUCGGCGCAUCAUCGACCGAUCCUGAUGUUCUCGGAUGGAUUUGAGUAAGAGCAUAUUGGGCCGGACCCGAAAGAAGGUGAACUAUGCCUGUGUAGGGUAAAGCCAGAGGAAACUCUGGUGGAGGCUCGCAGCGGUUCUGACGUGCAAAUCGAUCGUCAAACAUGGGCAUGGGGGCGAAAGACUAAUCGAACCUUCUAGUAG